rnacentral:rRNA from 1 species
AAAUGUAGACGCUCAACGUCUGCACUGCAGCGCGAACUGGUUUCCUUGAGUACGCACAAAGUGGGCGGAAUUCGUGGUGUAGCGGUGAAAUGCUUAGAUAUCACGAAGAACUCCGAUUGCGAAGGCAGCUCACUGGAGCGCAACUGACGCUGAAGCUCGAAAGUGCGGGUAUCGAACAGGAUUAGAUACCCUGGUAGGCCGCACGGUAAACGAUGGAUGCCCGCUGUUGGUCUGAAUAGGUCAGCGGCCAAGCGAAAGCAUUAAGCAUCCCACCUGGGGAGUACGCCGGCAACGGUGCAACUCAAAUGAAUUGACGG